UACGGAGGAUCCAAGCGUUAUCCGGAUUUAUUGGGUUUAAAGGGUGCGUAGGCGGCCUGUUAAGUCAGGGGUGAAAGACGGUAGCUCAACUAUCGCAGUGCCCUUGAUACUGAUGGGCUUGAAUACACUAGAGGUAGGCGGAAUGUGACAAGUAGCGGUGAAAUGCAUAGAUAUGUCACAGAACACCGAUUGCGAAGGCAGCUUACUAUGGUUUUAUUGACACUGAGGCACGAAAGCGUGGGGAUCAAACAGG
rnacentral:rRNA from 1 species